GCCUACGGCCAUGCCACUCUGAUCACACCUGAUCUCGACUGACCUCUUAAGCUAAGCAGGGUCUGACCUGGUUAGUACUUGGAUGGAAGAAUCCCUCAAUUCCACUCCAGGCUGUGCCUGCA
rfam:Ovis aries breed Texel chromosome 14, whole genome shotgun sequence.